UACAGAGGGGGCAAGCGUUGUUCGGAAUUACUGGGCGUAAAGGGCGCGUAGGCGGCCAACUAAGUCAGACGUGAAAUCCCUCGGCUCAACCGGGGAACUGCGUCUGAUACUGGAUGGCUUGAAUCCGGGAGAGGGAUGUGGAAUUCCAGGUGUAGCGGUGAAAUGCGUAGAUAUCUGGAGGAACACCCGUGGCGAAGGCGGCAUCCUGGACCGGUAUUGACGCUGAGGCGCGAAAGCCAGGGGAGCAAACGGG
rnacentral:rRNA from 1 species